UGGAUGGAUGGAUGGGUGGGUGGAUUGAUGAGUGGAUGGCUGGAUCUUUGACCAAUGAAUGCUUACAUUUGUAUUAUCUUGCUUUAUUUACACAAUAGCCCAAGCCAUCAUUUUGCAAUUUAAGGAAGUUACCAAUGAUUACAAAAGUUUUACAUAUGUCUACAUGGAAUUCCAGGAUAUGUGUCAAGAUCUUUGCCAGUAAACUGAGCCCGCCUUUUUUGUUUUCUUUAAAGAAUGUGUGUACAAACUCCAAGUGACCUUGCUCAGCUUAAGAGUAAAAAGUUGCCUAACCGGGUCGAGUUUCUGGGAACUGACAAUUUCCGAAAAGUGUUCAUAUUUGUUUCCUUUCUUCAUAUAUUAUCAGCUUUCUCUAUAGCAAAUAUUGAGAAGAACAUUUUGUUGUCUUUGUGAUCUCAUUCCUUUCUCGUUUAAUAAAGGGAAGUGUUUUUAUGUAACCAGCAUACUAUCCAUUUUAAACUAAACUGACCGUACAUUAUCACUUUCUCUAGUUUUGCAGAGAACUCUCCA